AGCGAACGUUAGCGGCGCGCCUAACACAUGCAAGUCGCACGAGAAAGGGCUUCGGCCCCGGUAAAGUGGCGCACGGGUGAGUAACACGUGGGUAAUCUUCCUCCGAGCGGGGGAUAACAUUCCGAAAGGAGUGCUAAUACCGCAUAAGACCACGGAGUCGAAAGACACUGAGGUAAAAGCUGGCCUCUUCACGAAAGCUAGCACUUGGAGAUGAGCCCGCGGCCCAUCAGGCAGUUGGCAGGGUAAUGGCCUACCAAACCUAAGACGGGU
rnacentral:rRNA from 1 species